rnacentral:lncRNA from 1 species
UUGCCUGCCUUCCCAACAUCAACACCGCCACGCAUCACGCAACCAACCAGACGAGAGAAGACUCUACCCUGUCUGGAGUUUCAGAUUCAGUUAGCAUAACCCAGAAACAGCUGGUAGAAAUCCAUCAGGGAAACCAACACGGUACUUUAAACCUCUGGCGCCAGAGAUAGUCCAGCUGCUACCCUCCAGUCUUUAUGCUAAGGUAGGCUAACACUGUAUCAACUGUAACAUCUGAACCUCCGAACACACCCAGAACUUUCUCGUGGUGUCGAGGCCACAACGCAACCAACAGCUACACACAAACCACAGCUGUAAGUGCUUCUUGGCAAAGAUACGGAAAGAUUAGGACAAAAUGGCUCGGCCAAACCCACACACACACACACACACACACACACACACACACACACUGUGAGUCUGUAAUCAGCAGCGGGGUUGGAAAGCCUCUCGUCUGCUAAUUAAAGACCAUAAAACGAUCGGAGCAGAAUUCUGAUUUAAUGAACAAAAUCUGCAGCUUCGCCAACGAGAACGAAUCCAAACGACUGGAGUUGAUCUCUCUGCAGGGAGGAAACAUCUGGAUGCUAAUAACACAACAUCUGCAGAGCAACAUCUGCAGAGCAACAUCUGCAGAGCAACAGACUUUCUCACUACGUCACCUGACUUUAACGGCUCAGGACAUGGCGGCAGACGGGCGCAAACGACCAUUGGAGCAACCAAACACAGCCAUGGGGGAACAGUGGUGACAGAUAAAACUACAGAAUUCAUGUUAAAAGACGCCGUUAACAGUCGCACAUCAUCCAACAGACGUCUCAACCAUCGCUAACAGUUUGAUGGUGCGUUCCCACCAAACGUGGAGUGAAUAUUUGCCCGUUAAUUUUUAGUCUUACAGCGACAGUUUGAGCCUAAAUAAUCUGAUGUUUCUGUGAUUUAAUGUCAAUAAAUGGAUCGAAAUGAUGCUGAAAUAACGACAUUGUGACAGAGUUUCAUAAUAAGUCUGAAUUCAGACUCUGUCGGUCUGCGAGACGACGAACAAACAGCUUUUAAAACGCUUGUUUUCUGAAUGGAGUUUGGUUGAUCAGAUGAUAACUGAGUGAAGUGACAGACUCAUAUUUUCCAACUUCCUCUCUUUACUUUUCUCCAACAAUCUCUUUUCCUGUCUGCUCUCUGGGUCAAUAUGAAGUAGUAUCACAGAGCUCUGGGUUCGGGGCAG